rnacentral:rRNA from 1 species
UACGUAGGGGGCAAGCGUUGUCCGGAAUCAUUGGGCGUAAAGCGCGUGUAGGCUGUCCGGUAAGUCCGCUGUGAAAGUCGGGGGCUCAACCCUCGGAUGCCGGUGGAUACUGUCGGGCUUGAGUACGGAAGAGGCGAGUGGAAUUCCUGGUGUAGCGGUGAAAUGCGCAGAUAUCAGGAGGAACACCAAUUGCGAAGGCAGCUCGCUGGGACGUUACUGACGCUGAGACGCGAAAGCGUGGGGAGCAAACAGG